GCUGAGAUCUGGCCACUGCACUCCAGCCUGGGCGACAGAGCCAGACUCCGUCUCAAAAAUAAAUAAAUAAAUAAAUAAAUAAGAGGAAAUUACAGUUUACAUAUAGAGAUUUUUUUCAUAUUUGGGAUUAUAUCCUUAGGCUAGAUUAUGAGAAGUGGAUUUAUUGGGUCAUGAACAUUUUAAGACUUAAUAGAUGACUCAGCUGUUUUCCAAUGGAUUAUAUCAAUUUAUACUCCAAUCAUGUAUUAAAUUACCUAUUUCAUCAACCCCUUGCCAAUUUCGCAUUUAUCUUAAAAUGUAUAGGCAACAAUUGAAGUUGAAGUUGCUUUUCUGGGAUUCUUGACAUCUGUGAUUUGGUGUGGUGUGCUCAUCCCUCUGCACCAUGCUGCCUUCUGCUAGGGGGCUAUCAGGUCUGUGGGGCAUUUAGAACCUUUCCCUGAUUUUCUAGGAAUUGGCCUGUGACUUUCCCUAUUGUUAGGUCAGAGAUUACAGUUCUCUUUACACUCUUUAUAAAUUAAUAGCUUGAUUCUCUGCUUCCAACAUCUUCUGUCCUCACCACUAAUAGUAAGAACAGUUACUACUGCUGCUACAACUACUACUGAUUGAGUUGUAGUUCUGUACUGAGUGUGAUUCUAAGUACUCCACAGGUAAUAUUUCAUUUAGAUCUUACUGCAACGCAUUGAAGUAAGUGUUAUCAUCCCCAGUCCACAAAUGAGUAUAAUUAAGUGAAACUUCGAGAAGCUCAGUAACUUCCCCAAGGAUAUUCAACUGCUAAGUAGUAGAGCUGAGAACUGAAUUGGGGCUCUACCUUAUUUCCCAUCCCAGGCUUUAAACCACUCUGUGUUAUGCCUCUACAUCUCUGAGCUACCCACCUCUAACUCAGUCUGUCCUUUGGCUCUGGAACCAAUCCAGUUCUGAGUUAAGGAAAAUUAAGGCCCUCUAGCCCAGCAUCUGAAAUCACUGUUGUUGCUAGACCAGCUCUGAUUUUGUGGUGGAUUCACACUAAAUGGACUUUUGCCCAGUAAUGUUACUGAGAAGACACUAGGAGAACUAGGGCUGAUGAGAACACUCAUUACAAGGCAGCCUUUGCAAACAUUUAAAGAAAGUUGUCCCAGGGUGGUAACAUAGUUUGUGUUUCCUCUCUCAAUAGCGAAAUCUAGCUACACUUCAGCUUCUGCUUCUACCUUUUCCUUGUGAACAAAUCCCCACCUUAUUCCCAAUUCCAGUGACUAUGCUUUUUCCUUAGUCUUGAUAACUCCCUAGUAGCUUAGUUCCUGUAAGAUCUGCAAAGGAAUCAUAAGAUCUGCCUACUAAAUAGUGACAGGAAAGGGGGAGAGGGGAACACAAGUAGAAAAAACCUUGAGAACUUGUGAAUAUAAGGUGAAAUAUAAGGCUACAUUCAUUCACAUGGUGAUACUCACCCAUGGAUCUGGGCUCAAUAUUAUGCCAAGUACUUAUGGAGCUAGUCUAAGAGUUUGCUGGGAUAGUUCUUUAACACCUGAAUUUGAAUAUGGCUUCUGAAAUAAUGUGAAGAUAUCAGAACUCCCUUGGCAUACAAGAAGGGGUCAGAAAGCUCAAGGGUGUGAGAACGUUAGAAUAGAUUUAUGAUGUAUAAACUCACAGCCCAUCGCCUGACUAUAUACCCUAGCAGAGUCUAGUGAACACUUUUCAUUUUGGUAAAAAUAAAUGCACUGGUUAGUGGGACAGUCACAUCUUUGACAUACUUGGUAGUAGCUAUAUUGUGUAAACUGAGGCUCAGACUGGGUAAUAUUGCCAUGACAUUGAAUUCUUUACUGCCAAAUAGGGUUAAUGGGACUGGGGAAUGGCAGAGACCAAGUGGUAACUCUGAACUGGGUAUAAUGGAUACCCUGGUGCUCUGCCCAGAUCCUUUGUCCCGGGCCAAUGCACCUUGCUAAUGAGAAUAUUGGUUAGCAGCCCAUGGAUGUGUCUUUCACUGGAAAAGCCUCAUACAGUUUGCUAGGCAUUGAUCUGAGGCUGAUAACUGGAUGUACAAAGGUCUGUCCCCCUUGCCUUAAUUUUGUACAACUCUGAAGUGCCAUAUUGGUUCUAGAGCUCUCUGUUGAAUUAACUGAGGCCUCAGUGACAACCGCAUUGUAAGUUAGCGUCAUCCUCACCAACUCUGCCCUCUUAAUUUCCCUCAGGUGGAUCUCCUGAAAGCACUCCCAACAGGUCUUCCGUAUGCAGCUUUUCAUCACAGAGUAUGUUUCCAGGGGACACAAUAGAAGACAAUUGGUUCCACAAGUGUCCUAAGAACCAGAUUCUAAUAUGAGAUUUGGGGGCUGGAUGAUUCGCCAGCUACCUGGCAAUGAGAACACCAUCAUUGAUAACAGCUCAUCUAGCUGCUGCCCCUGCUGAGUCCAAACUGCCAGCAAUGGAGACAGACCUGAACCCUCCAUCUGCCACUAUUCCUCAGAGAAACCAGCCAGCCACUUGGUGCAGAGCAUGUGACAUAUACAGCUGUCCCUCAGUUCCUGGAUACCCAAGGAUACCAGAAUCCACAGCAUUCAUCCCUUAUACAAAAUGGUGUAGCAUUUGUACAUAAUCUACUCACAUCUUCCUGUAUACUUUAAGUCAUGUCUAGCUUACUUACAAUGCCUAAUACUAUGUAAAUGUGAUAUGAAUAGUUGUUAUACUGUAUUUUAAAAAUGAUACUAUUUCAUUGUUGUAUUGUUAUGUUUUAUUGCUUUUUCUGAACACUUUGGAACCACAGUUGGUUGAAUCUGCAGAUGUGGAACCUGCAGAUACAGAGGACUGACUGUAUUAUAUAUUAUAUAUAAUUUAUACAUGUAAUAUGUAUAUGUGUAUGUUAUAUAUGUGUGUGUAUAUAUAUAAUGUGUAUAUAUAUAUAAUAUGUGUGUGUAUAUAUAUAAUGUGUGUGUGUGUGUAUAUAUAUAAUGGCCAUGCUGUAAAGCAUGAAUUUCAGACCCUAUAAGAUUGCAAAUAUGCCUUUCAUUUAAAGCAAUGGGUUACGUUUAUGCCAAUUUAAUCUUUAACAUUAAUAAAAGGCCAAUUAUACUCUUCAAGAGUAAGAUGUUUUACGAGAAAAUGACAAAAAGAUACAUGUAAUCAUUGCAGUGCCAGUUUACCAUCAGAUAGAACGUGCAGUAAUCCUUUUAGCAAGCUUAAGCUUUUACAUAUUAAUGGCAACAUUGGAGAGUGGGAAGAUGCCUUUUACAGCAUUGCUGAGGUCCUUCCAAUGCAGAAAUGUCUCUGCCGCUUGGCCUGAUUACUAGCAUGUGCUGGGGAGAAUAACGCUGCUUUGUGGGCUCUUCCCUCCUCACUACUGAGGCCUGGGGUGGUUUUUUAAGUGCAGUGCUGUACAGAGAUUAAUAAUGAGGAGGGGAAAAAUUCAUUUAGACAUUUGACAACAUCUCUGUGACACUCAGUAUGGGUCUCAUAUGGAGUAGAUUUGCCCUGCAGAGAAAUGCUAGCAACACUUUAUUCUUAAACAUACGAUUAACCAGCUGCCAGAGACAACAGAACAUUUAAAACUUCUAUUCCAAUUGCCAAGUUACCAUCUAUAGGUCUCAGAGCUACUAAAAUGUAUUUAAAAGUGAGCCGCAAGACACAACGUGUGUUUCCUUAUGUGUAAGACACAGGGCGUGAACCAGAUGAGAGCCUUGAGGAUCCCUUUCUGAACUACAGCUUCACUGUGUAAAGGCAAAUAAAGUAACAGAGAAAAGCAAGCUGUUGACUCAGGGAAGUGAAUAAGAAACAAUACAUCAAUGGGCUCCAGGGAGACCCUAGAGGAAUAAGAAGUCUCAUAUCUGGAUGAGGAAGUUUUUCUCUGCACAGACCACUGUUGUGAUUUGGAAAAGAAAUCUCUCUCUAUAUAUAUUAUAGCAUAUAUCAUUUCAGCCACUUCAUGCCAGCAUGCAUUAGAGGUGGCGAGAGAGAUAAAGCCUUAAGGAAGAGAGAAGCUUUGUGGAUUACUGUUCUGAUAGCCUUUCUCCCAGAGGUCUUAAUGAGUGAUUAGGCCUCAAAUGAUAGAAAUUAUCCCAUUAUUCUUUGUGACCUUCCAAACUUGCCCAUGAAAAAACCCCAAAACCAAACAAUUACGUUUCUUGGAAAAAGCUUUCAUUUCUAUGUUGUCCUUGUGAAAGAAGAUAAUCAACACUUAACUCCUCAUUCCUUUCUUUCUCAAUGUAAAUAUUUUUGGAGUCACUUUUAGUUGAAAUAAGUAAUGUUAGAAAUUGUCAGAUAAACAACAUGCUUUGAGUAAAAUGUUUAUUUUAGGAAUUUAUCUUACAAAUACACAUAUAUGUAUAUAAGGACACAUGUUGAAGAAUAUUCACUACAGUAUUUUUUUUCAAGUUCACUACCACAAAAGUCUAAAGAAUAACCUAUGGCCCAUCCAUAGAGCAUAUUUUUUUAUUGAUAGUGCAGCUAUACAAACACUACUAUGCAACUGGUUAAAAAGAGUGAGUUGGUUUCAUAUGUAUAGACAUGGGCUAACCUCCCAGACAUAUUAAGGGCAAAAUGUAAGGUGUAGAAUAAUAUGUACAGCAUGCUGUCAUAUUUAUGUAAAUAAAAAGAAAAUAUACAUCUAUGCAUAUCCACAUUGACUCAUUCUGGAAGAAUGAACAAGAAGCACCUAACAGGCAGUUACCUCUGGGAAUGCGAGCCCAGUGAUGGGAGGUAGGAGGCCAAGAUUUUACUGUUUAUGUUUUUGUACUGUUUGAAUUUUUUCUAUUACCAUGUAAUGUGUCACAUUUUCAAAAUAAUUUUAAAAAGUAAACUAAUAAAUUUUAUUCCUAAGCUCUAAAUUGAAUAUUAGAAUUUUUAAUUUCUAAGCUCUUUUGUUUUUAAACUAGUUGUGUAUGAUGUCACACACCAUUGGCUAUUACUACAUAUUAGUAACUUGAUUCAUUGAAUUUGCCUGGUUGGUGACUGAUUAGAAAAUAUGAGCCACUGUAGUCAAAAGAUCCAUUCUGAGUAUAAAUUGAGAUGAUUUUUUUUUCCUUAGUCACAUAAAUCAGCUCAGAUACAUUGUUGCUCACUGUCAAUGAAAUAAGAUGGCUUUUAAGGACUUAAUUGCCAUAAUUCUGCAAUAGCAUUUGGGCACUGUAUUAGUCAAUUCUCACACUGCUAUACAUACAUACCUGAGACUUGGUAAUUUGUA